AUUAAAAUUUCUCAAAAUAAUUAUAGCUAAUAAAUUAUUGAAUGCAAUAAAUCAAAUAGAUCAACUAUGUUAAAAAUUUAAAAUUCAAUCAUAAUUCUCAAAUCCUGAAUCAACCUCUACAUACUUAACAAGAUCAAAACGCAAGCUAACCUCUCAAACUCGAUUUUUGUACAAAAUUUAUGUAAUUCAACUAAUAAAAUCUACAUACCGCAUCAUAGUUGUGACAUUGUGGUGGUGAGCAUGGUGAUCAUGGAUAGCUUCCGCGUGAUGGUAGUGGUGGUGAUGAUGAUGAUAAUAAUGGUGGUAGUGACGAUGAUGGUGGAGGUGGUGGUACUAGCGCUAGAGGUGGCGAUGGUGGAGGUGGUGGUACCAAUGCGAGGGUUAGUGGAGGUGGUGGUGGUGAUGGUGGAGUUAGUACUAGUGGUGGUGGUGGUGGUGGCCCUGGUGGUACGUCACGCUUCCAACGACGUCCUACAUUAUGUUGUGGUGGUGGUGGUGCGGCUCCAUCCUUAUUCCGGUCUAAACUUUUUAACUCUCCAUCAGCCUUGAGUUUAGAAAACUUCAAUUCAUGGAUGAGUAAGGAUAUUAGCAGACAAGAAAUUAGUAGACAAGAAAUUUUAUGUGUAGGCCUCAUUGUGAAAAUAAGUUUACCAAUGUUUCACUAUAAUAUAUAAUGACAUGACAUCACUUCUGUAUAAAGAC
rnacentral:lncRNA from 1 species